rnacentral:rRNA from 1 species
GACGAACGCUGGCGGCGUGCUUAACACAUGCAAGUCGAACGGUAAGGCCCUUCGGGGUACACGAGUGGCGAACGGGUGAGUAACACGUGGGUGAUCUGCCCUGCACUUCGGGAUAAGCCUGGGAAACUGGGUCUAAUACCGGAUAGGACUCCUGCCUGCAUGGGCGGGGGUGGAAAGCUUUUGCGGUGUGGGAUGGGCCCGCGGCCUAUCAGCUUGUUGGUGGGGUGAUGGCCUACCCAGGCGACGACGGGUAGCCGGCCUGAGAGGGUGACCGGCGACACUGGGACUGAGAGACGGCCCAGACUCCGACGGGAGGCAGCAGUGGGGAAUAUUGCACAAUGGGCGCAAGCCUGAUGCAGCGACGCCGCGUGAGGGAUGACGGCCUUCGGGUUGUAAACCUCUUUCAGCACAGACGAAGCGCAAGUGACGGUAUGUGCAGAAGAAGGACCGGCCAACUACGUGCCAGCCGCCGCAGUAA